rnacentral:rRNA from 1 species
UACGAAGGGUGCAAGCGUUACUCGGAAUUACUGGGCGUAAAGCGUGCGUAGGUGGUUCGUUAAGUCUGAUGUGAAAGCCCUGGGCUCAACCUGGGAAUUGCAUUGGAUACUGGCAGGCUAGAGUGCGGUAGAGGGUAGUGGAAUUCCCGGUGUAGCAGUGAAAUGCGUAGAGAUCGGGAGGAACAUCCGUGGCGAAGGCGACUACCUGGACCAGCACUGACACUGAGGCACGAAAGCGUGGGGAGCAAACAGG